UUUUGUUUGUCUUUACUCGAAGAGAUCAAAUUAUUGGUGGGGACAAUUCAAUAAUCGCUGGAUAUUGGUGAGGACAUGUCCCUUCUGUUCACGCCAAAUCUACGCACUUGAUUUAUUGCUGUAUCAUUAUUCCCCCUCACAUCUCAACAAAUGAUUAAAGAAUCGAAUCAAAGGAAAUCGUUACUCUUUUAACACAUAAACACAGUGCAGAAAGACCUAUAAGGAUGCUGAAGAGAUAGCAGAAAGCCAAAUAUUGUCAGACAGAAAAGCACACAGACAAACUUGGAAAAGUUGAUUUGUGGAAAAUGAAAUGCUGUUGGCGGCAAUGGACAGCUGUUAGUAUACACUCUCAAGCAGUAAUGAGGUUGCAUGUUGCUAUAAGACAGCUGAUCGAGCUGUUUCAUUUACUACACGUUUAAUAAAGGGUACAAGACCCGUGGCAGUUGUCUGGCUUUGAAAUGACUGGAAUCUUUACAUUUCGACUUUUUUCUCAAAAUAAUAUUUCGAUUUCAAUGUCGAAGUUCCGACUUUAUUAAAUCAAAGGACAUUUUGUUUCUUAAUGUGACCUAAUACUCCUUCGCACUUCUCUGAUUUUUCCGUUAUCAUCAACACACACACACACAAAAAAAAAGGAUGGGCGUGAACAUGAGAAAAAAUAAUAAUGUGUUCGCUUAAGACACACUGGCGUGGAGACUUACUUGCCAUUACAGUGUUUCUAGUUUACUUGAGGUUAUGAUUGGUCUGAAUCUCUGAAAGAGAGUGUGUUUAGUCGAAGUUUCAUCGCCUUUGAAUACAGUUUUAAGCCUGUGUCGGCAACAAGGCGGGACCGCUACUUUGCAAAGAACAAGACUCGCUUGAGCGCAGUAAGUAGACUGAGAUCUUGAAGGUUCCAAAACCAUACUAGUAAUACCAAACUGAGGUAGAAACCCACCCAAUCCACUAGGAAUUAAUUUCUCCAGUCUUUAUCUUCUAUUGUAGCUCCUUAAACAGGAGGAUCCGAAAGAAACGGAGAAGUUCUGAGAGGAGCUUACAGACAAGGAGUGCAGCGACUUGACUUCGGUAAUCUGAAGCAAAGACAUGAAUUCUGUCACUCCAGGAAUUGAACACCCUCCAGUAAGAGAAACACACCCUGUAAUAGAGUGUAUAUUUAAUGAUGACCUUGAGAAGCUUAAAACAUUACUGAAGAACAGUGAUGUUAAUGAACUUUAUCACUGUAAAGACUGGGAUGAUGAUAUAACCCCACUGAUUGCUGCUGUUGCAAAGCACAACAAACCUAUAUCUUUUGACCUUUUAAUUAAUGGUGCGGACUCAAAUAUAACUUCUAAACACCACUUCACACCUUUGCAUUAUUUCUCCCUGACCAACACACUUGAUUUUGUGGAGAAACUCCUGGAAGCAAAUUCUCAUCCAGAUGGAUCUACUCCAAUGCAACCACAUAAACACACAUCAGUGCAAACUGCUGAUAUUAGAGACAAAGAGGAUGUCAUGCAAAGACUCAUUUCUGCUGGUGCACGGGUCACAUUGCUGCCCAAGAAUGAUGCUGAGUGUGUUAGUAACAAUAAUAAAAAGUCUCAGAUGAUUGCAUCAAAUGAAGAUGAGGCAUUUUCCAAGAUCAGAGAUUUUAUUGAUGUGGAAACUGCUGCUUUUAAAACACCUGAAGAAGUGUUUACAACUGAUAACAAUAAGAUGCUGUUAGAGAAUCCAGAGUCACAUUUGACCAUAUAUGAAAUUCUCUUUACUGGGAGAGGAAAAGAAAAACAUGGCCAGAGAUGUAUUACAUGGCUAAAGGAAACUGGAAAUGUGAAUACUUACAUUGCAGGUGCAGCCACUCGUUUUCCAAACAUCCCUAAGACACAUGUAAAGCUGGCAGUUGAAGGUUUAAAUGCAGUUUUCUGUACAAUGGAUGACAUAACAAAUGAGCAUGCAGUAGCUAUAGUUCCACAAUUACUGAACCUGCUUGACUCACAAGACAGUGGUGUUUGUGAAGCAGUGCUACAAACACUCUAUGUGAUAACACAGAAAACAAAAGGCACAAAGAGCUGGGACUUUUUAGAGAACUUAUGCAGAACAGUUGCCCCUUUUGUAAAUGAGAAGCACCCCACUAACAUCAGGGUCUACACAUAUAGCAUAGUCGCAAAUCUGAUGUCAGUUGAACAGGCAGCUAAAAUUUUUACAUCAGAGGUUGUAACUUCCGUGCCCAAGGACAUACUGACAUCAGGUGACAUGAAAAUGAAUCAAAAGCUGAAAGAAGUGCUGAGAAGUCUGAAAAAUUAUUUGAGCAAACCAAACUCAGAAUGUGAGGGAAAUGCAGCAUCGUCUGUGGCCAGGAAUACGAAGGAAAUGCCGGAAUCAGCUUCAGAUGAAACGCCUUUCAACCAACAAGAGUUUCGCAGGACACCAGUGAGCAAGAGGUGGAAGAAGCUCCUGGAUAAACUGGAGCGAGAUGUUCGCAAUGGGAAAAAAACAGUAAUCAGAAUCGGAAAAUGUUUUUAUGUGAAUGAUACAGAAUUCAGAAUAACGAAGAGUGAUGGUACUGAAGUCUUCUUGGGACUGAGAGAGGAUGGCACAGAAGUUGCCAUUAAGAAAAUGUCUAAAAGCAACAGUGGCAAUCUGAAGAAUGAAAAAGAAAUCCUACAACUCCCUGAACUCGAUCAUCCUUAUAUUAUACGAUAUGUUGAUGUUGAAGAGGACAAGAAAUUUGAAUAUCUUUGUCUGCAACUUUGUGAAUACACCUUGGAUAGCUAUAUCAAAAGAAUUAAUAAAGACACUGGGAAAGAUUUCCUUUUACAGAGACUCGUCAAACAACUUCUUGAAAGUCUAAAGGUGCUUCACUCUCACGAUCCUCCAAUUCUCCACAAAAAUCUCAUACCCGAGAACAUUUUUAUUGAUGUUAUUGGGAGGGUAAGAAUAGCUGGUUUUGGCAUGAGCAGCCAGAAACAAGACUCAUACACGUCAAGCAGUGAAAUAAAGGUGGCAGGAUUUCUGAUUUCUCAUAUCCUCUCUGGAGCCCGGCGUAAAUUUAAAACUGAAAUCAAAAAAUGUAAGGACAAUUUGAAACAUAUUAACGAUGUGGUGGCAAAGAAUCUCAUCAAGUGGAUGAUCAGAGGUGAGCCAGAGGGCAGACCCAAAGCAGAAGAAUGCUUGGACCAUCCCUUCUUCUGGACUAAGAACGAGAAAUUUGAAUACCUGAGAUGGACUGCUAACAGGGAGGAAGUGAAAAACUGUCGGAGGGCUGACCAGAACCUGGAACCCUUUAAAGACUGGAAAAAUAAGUUUUCAUCCACUAUUGUUACGGAGAUGGACAAUUAUAGUCGUGAAACACCUCCCAAACCCAAACCAUACCCUGAAAAUGUAUUUGGACUGCUCCUUUUUAUACGUAAUCUCCAUGAGCAUUAUCCACAUUACGCAAAGGAGUGUGAUGCAGUGAACAAAUUUCCAGAUCUCUUUGGUUGGGUUUACAAGUAUGCUGAGGACAAGCGCUGGAAUUCAGAGUCACCUUUGAAAGAAAUGUUUCAAAGAAAAAAAGACAAAGUGGACUUUAGCACCAGUGUUGUGAUGCCAUCUAUGAGCACUGAGGAGUGAGCAGUCUCAACCUACUAAAAUGAAAAUGAAAUGAAAAUUGAAUUCAGAAUGAAGGACCUCUCAGUGGCUGUGGAGCUUGAGAGAAGUAAUAAAAAUAUGUAAAUAUAAGUAUUAUUGUAUGGCGCUCAUCUUACUUCAGUAUCUUUUAUUUUGUCAGGCUGUAUACUUUCAAAGACUUCUUUUAGUUUUGUUUUGCUACUAGUUAACUCCCAAUUGAAUGAAGAUGGGUAGAAACAAUGGAGGUUCAGGAUGAAGAAGCUCAUAAAUGACUACGGCUAACAUACUGCCAGUGAAAAACAAGAAAAGCAGUUAGUAGCUUUAGAACCACAGAUAUAAUUAAACCAUAAGAUGCAGGCUGUGUUCUUCUCAGGCAUGUACAAGCAUGACCCUGAAACUAUACCUAAAUUGAUUUAAGCUAAAUUUAAGUUCAAUGUAUUUGAGCUACAAUGUAUGAUUUGUGUCUGUUAUCGUCUGUUAUUGUAAUUCCCAAAAGAAUCACCAAUUAACCUAAAAAAGCAAGUUGUUGGACUGUGAGAGGGAGCCGGAGCACCCUCAGAGAACACAACAUGCAAACAGCAGCCAGCAGAUUCACAUGCAGGACCUUCUUGCUGUGAGGCAACAGUACCAACCACUGCACCACCGUGCUGACCUUAGAGUGCAGUUGUAUGGUGGAAAAUGUUACUGUGGAUGCUUUAGAUCAGCGGUCCCCAACCCCCGCGCCUCGGACCGGUACCGGUCCGUGAGUCGUUUGGUACCGGGCCGCGAGAGUUGAGGCUCAGGUGUGAAAUG